rnacentral:rRNA from 1 species
CCUACGGGAGGCAGCAGUGGGGAAUAUUGGACAAUGGGCGAAAGCCUGAUCCAGCAAUGCCGCGUGAGUGAAGAAGGCCUUCGGGUUGUAAAGCUCUUUUACCCGGGAAGAUAAUGACUGUACCGGGAGAAUAAGCUCCGGCUAACUCCGUGCCAGCAGCCGCGGUAAUACGGAGGGAGCUAGCGUUGUUCGGAAUUACUGGGCGUAAAGCGUACGUAGGCGGCUUGGUAAGUCAGAGGUGAAAGCCCACGACUCAAUCGUGGAACUGCCUUUGAGACUGCUUCGCUUGAAGAUGGGAGAGGUUAGUGGAAUUCCGAGUGUAGAGGUGAAAUUCGUAGAUAUUCGGAAGAACACCAGUGGCGAAGGCGGCUAACUGGACCAUUCUUGACGCUGAGGUACGAAAGCGUGGGGAGCAAACAGGAUUAGAUACCCUGGUAGUCCACGCCGUAAACGAUGAUAACUAGCUGUCGGGGCUCUUGGAGCUUCGGUGGCGCAGCUAACGCAUUAAGUUAUCCGCCUGGGGAGUACGGCCGCAAGGUUAAAACUACAAAGGAAUUGACGG